rnacentral:rRNA from 1 species
CGUGGAGACAGGUGGUGCAUGGCUGUCGUCAGCUCGUGUCGUGAGAUGUUGGGUUAAGUCCCGCAACGAGCGCAACCCUCACCCCUAGUUGCCACCGGGUAAAGCCGAGCACUCGAGGGGAACUGCCAGCGUCAAGCUGGAGGAAGGCGGGGAUGACGUCAAGUCAUCAUGCCCCUUACGCCCUGGGCUACACACGUGCUACAAUGGCCAGUACAAAGGGACGCGAGACCGCGAGGUGGAGCUAAUCCCAAAAAACUGGCCUAAGUUCAGAUCGCAGUCUGCAACUCGACUGCAUGAAGGAGGAAUCGCUAGUAAUCGCGCAUCAGCCCGGCGCGGUGAAUACGUUCCCGGGCCUUGUACACACCGCCCGUCACACCACGAAAGCUGUCUGUACUCGAAGUCGCUGAG